rnacentral:rRNA from 1 species
AAUUUUGUACAAUGGGGGAAACCCUGAUCCAGCCACCUCGCGCGUAUGAUGAAGGCGUUUGUGGUUUAAAGUACUUUUUGCAGAGAAGAAAAGGUAUCUCCUAAUACGAGAUACUUCUGACGGUAUCUGCAGAAUAAGCACCGCCUAACUACGUGCCAGCAGCCGCGGUAAUACGUAGGGUGCAAGCGUUACUCGGAAUUAUUGGGCGUAAAGCGUGUGUAAGCGGGUCGGAAAGAAAGAUGUGAAAUAACAGGGCUGAACCUUGGAAGUGCAUUUUUAACUGCCGAGCUAGAGUAUGGCAGAGGGGGGUAGAAUUCCACGUGUAGCAGUGAAAUGCGUAGAUAUGUGGAGGAAUACCGAUGGCGAAGGCAGGCCCCUGGGAUAAUGCUGACGCACAGACACGAAAGCGUGGGGAGCAAACAG